GAUGAACGCUGGCGGCGUGCCUAAUACAUGCAAGUCGAGCGAACGGACGAGAAGCUUGCUUCUCUGAUGUUAGCGGCGGACGGGUGAGUAACACGUGGAUAACCUACCUAUAAGACUGGGAUAACUUCGGGAAACCGGAGCUAAUACCGGAUGAUAUUUUGAACCGCAUGGUUCAAAAGUGAAAGACGGUCUUGCUGUCACUUAUAGAUGGAUCCGCGCUGCAUUAGCUAGUUGGUAAGGUAACGGCUUACCAAGGCAACGAUGCAUAGCCGACCUGAGAGGGUGAUCGACCACACUGGAACGGAGACACGGUCCAGACUCCUACGGGAGGCAGCAGUAGGGAAUCUUCCGCAAUGGGCGAAAGCCUGACGGAGCAACGCCGCGUGAGUGAUGAAGGUCUUCGGAUCGUAAAACUCUGUUAUUAGGGAAGAACAUAUGUGUAAGUAACUGUGCACAGCUUGACGGUACCUAAUCAGAAAGCCACGGCUAACUACGUG
rnacentral:rRNA from 1 species